AACUUGGCUUCCAACAUGAAUAGUGAACUGGUGAACAGUUUGGCAAAAAUGGUCCCUUAUGUAUAUUUUUUUGUAAGGGGGGCAUAUUUUGACAUUAGGUAUAUUCUUUGUGUAUACGUGUUAGCAAUCCACCACAUCUUUAUCUUCCCCCACUAUAUUCAAUAGAUCAGAUCGGUAUGUUCUGGAUUCUUCUCAUAUAUAUUUUUUUUUUAUCUUCGUACCUUUCUUGCCAUCAACCACACACGAUCUAAACUCCACUAACCUUUGGUGGGAUGAGCCACCUCCAACUUCUUGAGCAUUUCGAUGUUCCUAAAAAGCAUCGAUCGACGCCGUUACCACCAUCUGUCGUUCCGAGACUUUGUAAGAAGCGAUUGAGCACUGCCAUCGCCACGUCUGCUUCAGUUCAUGUCAGAUUAGGGCUCGAUUCUGCCACCUCCAACCUCUUCAGCAUGUUGAUGUUCCUGAAAAACAUCGAUCGGCUCCGCUACCACCCUCUGUUGUUCCGAGAGUUUGUAAGAAGCGAUUGAACACCGCCAUCGCUACGUCUGCUUCAGUUCGUGUCAGAUUAGGGCUCGAUUCUGGUUUUAAAAAACAUCUCAGGUGCCGGUACCCCCUUUUCCUAUUUUAAUCACUAUUCAUUUUUCAUGCUUCAUAUACUUCUGCCUUCUCGACCUCCCAAUUAGUUGUUCACAAAUUUCAUUGCACCCACCAAUCCUCACCGUAGAAGCCCUCCAACCAACCUGCUCUCUCGGCUUCCUCUGUGACCCAGUUCGAAACAGAGGAGAUAUCGAAGAUGGACGAUUCUUGAAAGCUAGAGAGUAUAAAGAAAGAGUUGUGUUAGUUUCUGAAUUCCUAUGUUUUCAUUCUGUAGUUUUGAUUUAUGCGAUUUGUUUGUUUCUAUUCUUGGGUUUUGUUUGCUGAUUUCAGACUUAGGUAGGUAAGGAUUUUAUUUUGGGGAUUUCAAUUUUAGUCCAUCCCUACUAAAGCUUUCCAUUUGUUUAUGCAAUCUAGAUAAUCACCGCCUCACCUAUUUGUAUCCAGAAGCAUCAACCAGUCGGACGAUGAUUUUUGGCCUCUUUACUUCGGUUGGAUUAUUCUCCAUGAUUCAUAUACCAGAGCUUAUGAAGGGCAUGUUGAGGUUGUUUAGCUUCUGUUGAAUCGCAAGGCCAACAUUGAUGACCGUGAUCGGUGGGGAAGCACGGGAACCUAUCAAGUUGGUAAAUGGAAUGGAAGUAUGGAACAAAAGUUUCAGUGAAGAUAUUAGACAAGGAUAGCUAUUCUAAAAGCAUUCUUGGAUGUGACUGAUUUGGGUGGAAACAAAUUAACAGACGACGACAUCAUCAAUUGCAUUGAACAGGUACUCGGUUUUCAACAGAGGAGCUCGGGAAGAUUGCAGAGCACACACCAUAGUCAGUUAGCCUGGGAAUGUUUGACUCUGAUAAUGAUAUUAUGUUUUGAAAUUAAUACUCAAAAGUUAUGUUUGACUUAUGAUAUGUUGUUAUAAAUCUAUUUUAGUAAUGUUUUAAAAGAAAUUUUUAGUCA